rnacentral:rRNA from 1 species
AUUGAACGCUGGCGGCAGGCCUAACACAUGCAAGUCGAGCGCGCGGCGGACGGGUGAGUACUGUCUGGGAAACUGCCUGCUGGAGGGGGAUAAAUACUGGACACGGUGGCUAUUACGGCAUACCAUAGGAUGUGCCCCGAUGGGAUUAGAUAGUAGGUGGGGUAACGGCUCACCUAGGCGACGAUCCCUAGCUGGGCUGGGAGGAUGACCAGCCACACUGGAACGUAGACACGGUCCAGAAUCCUACGGGAGGCAGCAGUGGGGAAUAUUGCACAAUGGGCGCAAGCCUGAUGCAGCCAUGCCGCGUGUGUGAAGAAGGCCUUCGGGUUGUAAAGCACUUUCAGCGGGGAGGCGUUACCCGCAGAAGAAGCACCGGCUAACUCCGUGCCAGCAGCCGCGGUAAUUC